ensembl:lncRNA
CACAUAUAGAGUACUCAGUACGGGAGAGACAUAGACCUGUUGGAGCCAAUCCACAGGAGGGCCACAAAAAUGAUUCAAGGGAUGAAACCCCUCUCCUGCAAGGACAGGCUAAAAGAGCUGGAGCUGUUCAGCCAGGAGAAGGGAAGAUUUGACAGUGACCUGAUAGCAGCCUUCCAGUAUCUAAAGGGGGGCUUAGAAGAAAGAGGGGGACAGACUCUUUAGCAGGGUCUGUUGUGACAGGACAAGGGUUUCAAAUUUAAAGGGGGUAGAUUUAGGUUGGAUAUAAGGGAGAAGUUUUUUGUUUGUUUUUUUUUUUUUACAGUAAGGGUAGAGAGGUACUGGAAUAAGUUGCCCAGAGCUGUGGUUCAUGCCCUGACCUUGGAGACUGUAAGAGACUAUUCUUUUAUAUCAUUGACUCAAAGUUUGCUGAGGAACAAGUCCAGGCAAGUCCUGGGCAAAGGUAGAGAAAUCUGUCUGGAUUACAUUGAUGGACAGGUCCUGGCUAAGGGUUGUGAAAUCCUUUAAGGAGCACAGAUGGACAAGGCCAGGGGCAACGAGAGAGGCAUAAGCUGCUGAUAAUGGCUGGGAAAUGGUCUUUUGUGUGGACUUAUCUUGAGGAAGAUGGCCAUCUCAGGAGGUACGCACAUGACUCUUGCUCAAGCACUCAGGGAUGUCACGUAGGCAGGAGAAAAUGGAGGAUAAAAGAGGGUCCAACAACCACGAGGAUGGGUUUCUGCCAUCAGAUCCCUCACUACGGACUGCAUGCUGACGGACUUCCCUGGGCCUGCUACCUGAGACCUGCUGCUUCCUCCCUGACUUACUCUGCAGCUUCUUCCUGGACCCACCCGGUACCUGCACCUUCUCGUUGCCCAAGACCGGCCUUGCUGCUCCUGCCCUUCAGCCUCAGACCGUCAGAACGUCAUGCAACGGGACUGCUGCCGGCUCCUGGUGGUGAC